rnacentral:rRNA from 1 species
AGAGUUUGAUCCUGGCUCAGGAUGAACGCUAGCUACAGGCUUAACACAUGCAAGUCGAGGGGCAGCAUGGUCUUAGCUUGCUAAGGCCGAUGGCGACCGGCGCACGGGUGCGUAACACGUAUCCAACCUGCCGUCUACUCUUGGACAGCCUUCUGAAAGGAAGAUUAAUACAAGAUGGCAUCAUGAGUCCACAUGUUCACAUGAUUAAAGGUAUUCCGGUAGACGAUGGGGAUGCGUUCCAUUAGAUAGUAGGCGGGGUAACGGCCCACCUAGUCUUCGAUGGAUAGGGGUUCUGAGAGGAAGGUCCCCCACAUUGGAACUGAGACACGGUCCAAACUCCUACGGGAGGCAGCAGUGAGGAAUAUUGGUCAAUGGGCGAGAGCCUGAACCAGCCAAGUAGCGUGAAGGAUGACUGCCCUAUGGGUUGUAAACUUCUUUUAUAAAGGAAUAAAGUCGGGUAUGCAUACCCGUUUGCAUGUACUUUAUGAAUAAGGAUCGGCUAACUCCGUGCCAGCAGCCGCGGUAAUACGGAGGAUCCGAGCGUUAUCCGGAUUUAUUGGGUUUAAAGGGAGCGUAGAUGGAUGUUUAAGUCAGUUGUGAAAGUUUGCGGCUCAACCGUAAAAUUGCAGUUGAUACUGGAUAUCUUGAGUGCAGUUGAGGCAGGCGGAAUUCGUGGUGUAGCGGUGAAAUGCUUAGAUAUCACGAAGAACUCCGAUUGCGAAGGCAGCCUGCUAAGCUGCAACUGACAUUGAGGCUCGAAAGUGUGGGUAUCAAACAGGAUUAGAUACCCUGGUAGUCCACACGGUAAACGAUGAAUACUCGCUGUUUGCGAUAUACUGCAAGCGGCCAAGCGAAAGCGUUAAGUAUUCCACCUGGGGAGUACGCCGGCAACGGUGAAACUCAAAGGAAUUGACGGGGGCCCGCACAAGCGGAGGAACAUGUGGUUUAAUUCGAUGAUACGCGAGGAACCUUACCCGGGCUUAAAUUGCAGAUGAAUUACGGUGAAAGCCGUAAGCCGCAAGGCAUCUGUGAAGGUGCUGCAUGGUUGUCGUCAGCUCGUGCCGUGAGGUGUCGGCUUAAGUGCCAUAACGAGCGCAACCCUUGUUGUCAGUUACUAACAGGUUCUGCUGAGGACUCUGACAAGACUGCCAUCGUAAGAUGUGAGGAAGGUGGGGAUGACGUCAAAUCAGCACGGCCCUUACGUCCGGGGCUACACACGUGUUACAAUGGGGGGUACAGAGGGCCGCUACCACGCGAGUGGAUGCCAAUCCCAAAAACCUCUCUCAGUUCGGACUGGAGUCUGCAACCCGACUCCACGAAGCUGGAUUCGCUAGUAAUCGCGCAUCAGCCACGGCGCGGUGAAUACGUUCCCGGGCCUUGUACACACCGCCCGUCAAGCCAUGGGAGCCGGGGGUACCUGAAGUGCGUAACCGCGAGGAGCGCCCUAGGGUAAAACUGGUGACUGGGGCUAAGUCGUAACAAGGUA